UACGUAGGGGGGCGAGCGUUUGUCCGGAGUUACUGGGCGUAAAGGGUGUGUAGGCGGUUGUUUUAAGUUUGGUGUGAAAUCUCCCGGCUCAACUGGGGAGGGUGCGCCGAAUACUGAAUGACUUGGAGUGCGGGAGAGGUGAGUGGAAUUCCUGGUGUAGCGGUGAAAUGCGUAGAUAUCAGGAGGAACACCGGUGGUGUAGACGGCUCACUGGACCGUAACUGACGCUGAGACACGAAAGCGUGGGUAGCAAACAGG
rnacentral:rRNA from 1 species